rnacentral:tRNA from 1 species
GCGAACAUAGCUCAGUCGGUUAGAGCGCUCGGUUGUGGUCCGAGAGGUCGUGGGUUCGAAUCCCAUUGUUCGCC